rnacentral:rRNA from 1 species
UACGUAGGGGGCAAGCGUUGUCCGGAAUCAUUGGGCGUAAAGCGCGUGUAGGCGGCCAGAUAAGUCCGCUGUGAAAACUCGAGGCUCAACUUCGAGCUGUCGGUGGAAACUUUCUGGCUAGAGUCCGGAAGAGGAGAAUGGAAUUCCUGGUGUAGCGGUGAAAUGCGCAGAUAUCAGGAAGAACACCCGUGGCGAAGGCGGCUCUCUGGGACGGUACUGACGCUGAGACGCGAAAGCGUGGGGAGCGAACAGG